UACGUAGGGGGCAAGCGUUGUCCGGAAUCAUUGGGCGUAAAGAGCGCGUAGGCGGCCCUGUAAGUCCGCUGUGAAAGUCAAGGGCUCAACCCUUGGAUGCCGGUGGAUACUGCAGGGCUAGAGUCCGGAAGAGGCGAGUGGAAUUCCUGGUGUAGCGGUGAAAAUGCGCAGAUAUCAGGAGGAACACCGGUGGCGAAGGCGGGACUCUGGGCCGAUACUGACGCUGAGGAGCGAAAGCGUGGGGAGCAAACAGG
rnacentral:rRNA from 1 species